UCAAAUGCAUUCCAAAUGAGGCAAUCCUGAUCCUCAUACAGAAAAUAAUAAUAAUAAUAAUAAUAAUAAUAAUAAUAAAGCAUGUCAUUGGGCUCUGCUAACUCAAUGACAGCUGAACAGCAAACAAGGUUCAGAGAGAAGAAUUGCCCUUUCCCUGCCAGCAUGCCGGCUAGACUCUGUGUCUCCUCUUCUUUUCAUGAGUCAUGGUAGAAUCUCAACAGUUCAGGUUUCUUAUUCCCCAUCAACUCACCUUUGCUCAGGAUAUUUUAAUCACUACCGUACAAAAGCAAAACAGCAUUUAUUAACUUCAAUAAUUCUUACGCUCUGUAUCACAAUGUAAUCAUUGUACAACAAGAUUAACCAUUGGAGAAAAGGUCACUGCAGCAUGAUGGUCUGUCACUCGGAGGCUGCUGCAACAGCCGAUUUCACUAGUUGGUGUCUGCCACUGUAUGUAGAGACAGUUCCACACGGAAGACUAAAACAGAAUCAAAUCCACGUCACUUACAGAAAGAAACACUGUGAUCCAGCAGAAUUUUCCAAAUAGUACCAAACAGACUCCUUUAACUUCUCACAGUCCUUCAGCCUCACUGCAAAACCACGUGGGGCACACGAGAUUACUUGAAAGAUACCAAACUUCGCUAUCUGACGCAGAAAGCAGUAUUUCACGUAGGAAUCCUCCUAAGAGGUAGUGAAGAACUAACAUUUGGUGGCCUGGAGAAGGAAGAGGAACAAAUGGUCAAUUCCCUACAGUGAUGGAUAACAUCUGAGAAGGACUCACCAGAAGGAUUUGUGCUGGGAUACGUGCUGUUCUUCCUACCCGUAAAUAAUAAAUGAUAUUACUUCCAGUAGGACAAACAGGCAAAUAAUGAGGUGAUGAAGGCUGUAGACUAUACCAGAUUAUUCAGGAGAGUUGAAUCUAAAGCUGCUUACAAAAGCUGCAGAAAAAGACUCGCUAAAAAGUACAGACUGUGGAGAACAUUAGGAAACAAAGCCAAGUCUUUCAACUAUAUUUGGCUUUAAAUUGGGUAUUACUAGGCAGAAAGCACACCAUGUAUCCACUGCAGAUAAUAUCCUGAAAGCAUCAGAGAAAUUGCUUUCUGACAGUCAAAUAAGUAAGUACAAUAACUCUUAAGAAAAGGGGGAAAAAGUGAAACCUUGUUCUACUAUAAGUCUACAGUAUACAAAUGCCUUAAAUACUGCAGGUGGUUUGGGGGUCCAUAACUUUUGCAAGGGUAAUAAAGUUACAAAAUCUUCCGAGAAGCCACAAGGAUGAGCAGGGAUAGCACAGUGCUCAUACAAAAAGAGGCAGAGAAAAAUGUUGGCUUAGAAAUGUUUUGAGAGAAAAGAAUGGAGGUAUGGUAGUAUUCCUCAACUAAAUGCCACUUACUCAAGGCAUAAGAACCAUGGAGCACCCAUUGAAAUUGUCAAGGAGAUGGUUUAUAAUAAGCAAAAAGGGUUUUUCCCCAUUCACACAGAGAAUAUCAUAAAAUGAUAAAACUUUUGUGUCUCUCUAAAAAAAUUACAUGAUUCAAAGAUUUUGUAGGAAAACAAAGCACAAAGGGGUUUUAAAACAAGCAACAAACAAACCAACCCAGACAGCGGGCUCUAACUGUGGCUAACAGGUCAGUUCUGAUACACAUUUCAAAACCUAAUACAUAUAUAUACACAUAUAUAUUCUACUGCUUGUAAUCUUCCCUUGGUCAAGACAGAACAUUGUUUGAAACAGACCUUCGAUCUCACCAAGCAUCAGCUGUUCUCACAUUACAACCAUACUUGGUAAAGAUUGGGGGGGGAAGCAACUUGCAAGACUGAACCCCAUAAAUGUCCAAAAAUUUCAGUACAGCAUCUGUUAUAUUCUGCCAUGUUUUGUCUUUUCCUCCUUGAAUUUACACAGAGAAUACAUAACCCAUAUUAAAAAUAACUGAAAACUUUCUGUGUUCAUGAGAAGUCACAGAAGAAAAAUUCAUCGCUCUUGGAGAAAGAAAAGCCUGAUCCAGACUUCACUUUAUAACAUGUAGAGAAUAUAUAAUACGUACACAAGAGCCUUAAAAAAGACAAAAAUAAAAUAAAAUAAAUGUGUAA